AUUGAACGCUGGCGGCAUGCCUUACACAUGCAAGUCGAACGAGUGGCGGACGUGUGAGUAAUGUAUGGGAAUGUGCCCGGUAGAGGGGGAUAACUACUGGAAAGGGUGGCUACUACCGCAUACUAUUGGGUCAGCCCAUAUGGGAUUAGCUAGUUGGUGGGGUAAAGGCUCACCCAGGCAACGAUCACUAGCUGGUCUGAGAGGAUGACCAGCCACACGGGAACUGAGACACGGACCAGACUCCUACGGGAGGCAGCAGUGGGGAAGUUUGGACAAUGGGCGCAAUCCUGAUGCAGCCAUGCCGCGUGUAUGAAGAAGGCCUUCGGGUUGUAAAGUACUUUCAGCGGGGAGGCGUUACCCGCAGAAGAAGCACCGGCUAACUCCGUGCCAGCAGCCGCGGUAAUAC
rnacentral:rRNA from 1 species